AAGUCGUAACAAGGUUUCCGUAGGUGAACCUGCGGAAGGAUCAUUGGGGGAUUAGAGAGAGAGAGUUGGAACGGAAAUAUGCGAUUAACUACACUAUCUACAAUACCACACAACAACUGCUGACAAUGGAUCUCUGGGCUCUU
rnacentral:misc_RNA from 1 species